GGGCGGGGAAGCGAGGCCCUGGGAACCACUGUCCAGCCAGGCUCCCUGAGCCUCUGGCUCCUGUAAGCCAGAUCUCCAGGCCCAGGCAGGGUCUGAGGGCUGUGGGGUGCAGGACCAGCCCUCCCCUCAGGCUUGUUUCUGAGCUGCCCCACAGUGUGGUGUCGGGUCACAGUACCUGACACACCAGCCCCUGGAAAACACUGACCCCUGGGUUGCCUCUAGCAAGCACCCCACGCUCCACCUGGAACUACUGCAGUGCUUCAGACAGGAGCAGGGCUUCUGUGUUUGGACAAACAGGAGAAGAUGCUGACUUCUUAAUGGGACUCAGUGGAAACUUGCAGUGUGACCCCUCCGUCUUUCCAAGUUGCAUCCCAUGUCAGAGGCCAGCACUUAGCCCACCGCAGUGAGCACCUGGAGCCACACAGUGGCCGGGCUUGAGAGGCAGGGAAGGCUGGGGUUCUGGGGAUGCGGCCCCAGGAAGCAGGCCACACUCACGGUGCCCCUGGGAGCUGUAAGCGGGUGACCGCAUGGCCCUUCCUCUCUCUCCCUCCCUCUGUGCAAUACCUCUCCCUUUUCUGACAGCGUACUUACUUAUGCUCUGACUCCGACACCCAGUUGUCCCAUUUGUGAAGGAGGGAGGCGGGAGCAGGUUGGUAGUGACCUUUGCGAUUGUUCACAAAGACACAACCUGGACCGAUGCCAGGGUGAGCAUGUCCACCCCUGCAGGCUGCCCGUGCCUUGGCCCGCUCCUGGGAGCCAUUCUGGAAGGUGGUUCCUGAGUCGUGGGCAAAGAACGCCCAGUGCAGAGUGACGCCCUUCCCCACUGCUGUGUGACCGGGCCUGGCCCAGAGCAGAGCUGCCGUGUGAGCCUGGCAUCACCUCACCACGCUGGCCCAGCGGGCAAGGUACUGGCCCGGAUUCAGUCUGCGGUCACAGUCAAGAACUGGAGUAACCGCGAGGGCGCCAGCUGGGCAGGGUGCUGCACCCCCCUUAAUCCUGGGACUCUGGGAGGCUGAGGCAGGAGGGUCAGAGGUUUGAGCCACGCUGGGCAGCUCAGUGAGACCCUGUGUCUAAAGAAAAGUUAAAAAGGGCUGGGGCUGGAGCUCAGGGCAAAGGCUCUGGGUUCAAAUCCCAUAGGGGCUGGGCUGGGCUGGGACUGGGACAAAGAGGUCUCUGGAUGGGUGAGCGGGCGCCUGGCGACAGCAGGGCUCACCAGGCCUGGUGCGGUGGGACCUGCUAGCUACAAGCAAGGCUGUGCGUGGGUCACUGUAAUACGGUGUCUUCACCUCUUCCCGGAGAGGCCCUACAGGGGAAAACCUGGGGCCAAAGGAAUUUCGUUCUUUUCUCUUUUUUGGUACCGGGAUGGAACUCAGGACCUUGCACUUUCGAGGCAGGCGGUGGAACCACUGAGCUACAUUCCCAGCUCAGGAAUUUGUCUUCCUUUCUGAGGCGUCUCCACACUGAUCUCUGCAGUGUUGUACCUGCGUACUCCCCCACCCGUGGGGAAGGCCCCUCGCCAGCGCCUUGUUACUGCUGGGUUUCUUGAAGAUGGCCCUGCCCUCUGGGGAUGGUGGGACUGCGGUGCUGCCUUUAAUUUAAUCCCUUAUUCUCAGCGUUGCUGUUUACUCCCUUCAAGUCCUGAACUCACACAGGUAGUUUCAAAGUUGCCAACCCUUUGUGCCAUGAAAAAGAAAACCUACUGGAGUUGAAGCUCAGCACUUUUCCUUUUGGGGAGAGGUGGGCAGGCAGGGAGAGGCGGGGCUGAGUGAGUCUGUGGCACAGAUGCCCACACCGCCCACCGGGCCUCCGCUCUUCGGCCCUGCCACGGGAAGCCCUGCGUCUGCGCUUUCCAGCCCUCCCUGCUGUCGGGGCUCAGCCAGGGAGGCUGUUGGCAGCCCCUUUAUCAGGAGGUGGGAAUGCCUGGGGCCCAGGCAAUGGGACAUCAAAUGUCCUUGACGGAGAAAGGGUAAUUUCAUCCAGGUUCCUCAAACACUCGGAAUGGAGCCAGCGUGUGGCACGCUGCAGUUGGCUUCUGGGUGCUCACAUCCAAGGCUGCGGAGCUGGUGUGGCAAGGAGACACCUACACGCCACGUCCACCACAGCUGAGGAAAAACAGUGCACCCAGGCAUGCCCCACCAAUGAGCGUGUGAAGGGACAGUGGACGCGCAUGGCAGCAUGCCGUGAGCCUCACAGAAGAGGGAAACAUGUCCUUUCUGACACACAGGUGAAUCUGGGCGAUGUUAAGUAAGACACACCAAGCAACAACAACAAUACCUGUGUGUGUGCGGUGCUGGGGACUGGACCCAGGACCUUCACACUGAGCUACAUCCCCACCUUUUCAUUUUCUGUUUUGAGACAGGGUCUCGCUAACUUGCUCAGUUGCCCAAGCUGGGCUCAAACUUGCCAUCCUCCUGCCUCUGCCUCCCAGUGCUGGGAUGACAGGCGUGCACCACCACACUUAGUUCCUGCUCUAACUUUUCAACAAAAUCCAUUACACUGUAGGAAAAGGUAAAAGAAAACUACGCGAUGGCUUUCUGGAUCUUUGUGUUCUAAACGCUGCCCUAACUUCUUGGAGAAGGCUUGUCGGUCAGUCGGGACUCAAGAAAGCCCUGGGCCUCCCAGGAGGCGCCGCCCCUCCUCGGCCCCAUGCACUGGCCUUGGGGAACCCUUCGGGUUGCCCAGACGCGAGGAUGGGGCUCCUCCUCCUCCACAGGCCCAGCACUGCCUCUGCUGAGGGUAGAUUUUGUUGGAUUCAUAUGCUUGUAGAAAGCAUAGAGAUACAAGUUUAGAAGGAGAAGCAGUCACAGUGGGAACAAGGAGAAGCGAGGAGAGAGGCCGCUUCCCUUGCUGGAGCCGGAGCUCGAGGGCCUUGGUUCCCAGCGCCUCUCCCGAGAGUUACACCUGCAUCAGCUGCUCCUAGGCUCAGACCCUGCCUUGGCCGUGGACCCUCCCUGCCCUUGCACUCUCCCCUCUCUCCGUGAGAUUUGUGACGGGGCCUCAGGCUGACGGCCAAGUUAGCAAGUAUUAAGAGGUACGUGCGCAUGUCAGUGCAUUCACAUGCUGAGAGAAUAAUAAAAUACAGGGCCGGGAUUUAGCUCAGUGGUCAUGCCUGCCUUGCAAGCACAAGGUCCCCAGUUCGAUCCCCGGUACCCAAAGAAACCAACAACAUACCUGCAUUUAUACACAGGUGCCUGAGCAACCAGGCACAAAUGUACAGCUGCCCCUGAAGUGUGUUUCCCUGCAAUUCAGCCUGUCCACUGCGGCCCCUCUGCACCUGGCUGGAGCCCAGAGGAGGACCUGGGCCUGCGACACCCUGCUCAUGCUCCGCCUGUCCUGCUCCCUCCAGGUCAGGGGUUUGCCGAGUCCUUCCCUUCCCUGCCCUGACCCCUGCCCUGACAAAGCCCUCCCGACGGAUGCAGGUGCCGGUAGAUAAAGGACAGGGACUGACGAUGUCUUACUGCAUCUGUGCACAUUUUAGUCAGUUCACCAAGCACCUCCCAGGCCGCAGGGCCCAGCGGGGCUGCGCUCCUGCCUGGCCCUACUGGUCCCAGUCCUUGACGAUGCUCAGGACGCCCCGCUCAGGGGCGGGGCCUGCCAGCCUGGCCAGCACGUCCAGCCCUCCGUGCUCCUUCUCCCUGGAGGACACAAAGUGGGCAGCUCCUGCACCCGGACCCCGGGGCGCCCGCCCGUGUCCCCGUCCCUGUCCCCGUGGCCUGCGCAGCUCCCGGAUCUGUGCGGGCCAGGCCGAUUGGGACCGCAGGGCAGGAGCCCGGGCACCGCUUACCGGAGGACAACGUUGCAUGCCUGCGCGGUGGCCGCUGACCAAGGCCUGCUGGCCCCGCUCCCCAACAUCGUUCCCGCUCACGUCCAGGUGCCUCAGCUCCAGGUUGGUGCCCGGCACAGCCGGCCAGGGCAAGGCAGCCAGCAGAGGACAUGCAGGUGGCAGCUGGGGCACGCCAGGGCCUCGCACAGAGUGGCGGCGCCGUCAUCCCCGAGGGUCAUUGAGGCUGAGGUCCAGGCUUUGGAGGCGCGCUGCUCUCUCGAGAGCUGAGGCCACGUCCUGACAGCAAGCCGAGCAGUGAGACCGAGGACUCAUGUGCUGACUCUGUCUUCCACCACUUGAGGAACAGCCAAGAACGUCUUCCUGAAGUGCCAGCACCUUCUCCUGCUUCUCCGGGGAAAGCUCAAAGUGUCAGUGCUUCCUCAGCAGGCAUGGGCGCGUGACCCAGAGGCCCACACCUGCAGACUCCGGCGACUUUUCCUCUCGGAGACACAUCGUCAUCGGCCUCACACUUGCCAUCCUCCUGCCUCAGCCUCCCAGAGUGCUGGGGUCACAGGCGUGCACCACCAUGCCUGGCUCCGUAUUUAAUUCUGUGCUGAACUUCCUCCCGUGACAGCCAAGUGAGACCUCCCCAGGAGGAAGGCAGCGUGACCUGGACACUGACCCUGAGCCCCCGCCCGGCUCUUGUGAUGAGCAGAUGUCGCCGUCCUGCGCAUCUGCAGGGCCCUGGGUGCCUGGGCCCCGCUAACCUGCCUCUUCAGUGGAAAUAACACCCUUUUCCUGACUGCUGUCCCCUGGCACAAGCAUGGCUCCAAUAGGCCUCUGUGGGUCACACGUGUGCCACAGACUAGAACACGAAGCAGGUGUGCUCGGCACUGCUCCCCGCACGCCGAGCCUCAAGGGGAGGCACCUGGGGACUCACACCAGCCUCUGGAGGGGCAGCGCCGCGCUUGCCAGGCUCUCCCAGAUGUGCCUCGCCCCUUCAUCCUUCAGGGCAUUGCCCGCCAGGCUCAGGUGCGUCAGCGUCCGGCUGCUCCCCAGGGAGACGGCCACGCCCGGGCAGGCCAGCUUCAUGAGCCCGCAGCCUCCAGCCUGGGGACAGAGACUCGAGGUGAGCUGCGGACAGGUGGCCGGGUGUGGGGAUGCACGCCUGUGACCCCAGCCCUCUGGGAGGCUGAGGCAGGGGGGAUUGUAAGUUCAAGCCCAGCCUGGGCAAUUUAGCGUCUGGGGGAGAACCUGUCUCAAAAUAAACAAAAAAAGGGCUGAUUGUGUCACACAGCGUGAAGGCCUGCCAGCAGUUCCCUAUACCAAAAAUAUCCCAGCCAACCAAAGGAACAAACAGCCCCGCCCGCCCCUGUGAGACAGGAAAGGGAUGGCCCAGGAGGAGGAGAGGCGCAGAAGCCUGGCCUGCAGUUUAGAGCUAAGGCGGAGGCUGAGGUUGUGGAAAGCGUUCGUCAGGGAUCAGCGUGACGCAAUGAAAACGGGAUCCCGUUCCCACGCCACCGAGUGGAAAAGCGGUCAGAAAGCGGGCUGCGAAGGCUCAGAGGAGCUGUCAGACGCGCUAUGGGUGGACGGAGCCCGGAGGUGCGCAGCCCGGAGGAGCGCGACCUGCAGCACGGCCGCCCUGUGCAGCAACGCCCGCCACAGCACCCGUGUGUGUGUGUAUGCGCGCAGUGUGCGCGUGUAACUGUAAGAGCGGGCAGCAGGGCAAACCCCAGCCUGCAGGGCAGCAGAGAGCUCCCUGCACGUUCACACAAACAUUAACAUGGGCAGCGAAGAGGAGCCGACCGCAGAAGGGAGCAGGAAAAUACUGCUCAGAAAGGAGGGCUCCUUCGUGUGAGCAGUGUGGGGCUUAGCGACUCCUGCUUAAGGAUAAACGUGUGAUGAGGCCAGUGCUAAAAUGCCAGCCUUCCCCGCCUCGGAAUGGCCGCCGUGAGUGUGUCAGCGUGUCACCACUGUGAGCUCAGACGGGCUGGCGAGGUUCUGUUUGGUCCAGGGGCCGCCCCGCCAGCUGGGGCCGCGCCGUCACCCCAGGCUGCCGCCCAGCGGACUCACGCCAACCUCCGGAGCUGCCUCGCAGACACGAAGAUCGCCGCCGACAGCGCCAGGCAGGCUCCACUCAGCGCCAGGGUCUGCAGGUGUGCGCUGUCUUGAAGGUCGCGGGCCAGGAGGACCCACUCUCGAGGGGGGGCCACGCAGGACACCAGCCUGGGGGGGAUGCAGGACACCCACGCAUGCGCACGCCGAGCCUGGGCUGGGGUCACGGCCCUUGGGGGGCGCCUCGGGGGUCCCGACUCCCCCAGCCGUAUGCCUGUGCCAGGCGCGGCCACGCGCACACUGGGCCGCAACCCCUGGACAGGACGAGGCGGCUCCGGCCCUGGAAACAGCUUCCCUCCGGCGCCUUUGCCGGACAAGCACGCGGGAGAGGAGGCGAUGCAGCCACGGGGCUGACUCCGAGUCCCGAAGCUCCUUCGGGCAAAGCCAGGCCUCGCGCUGAGCCGUCCUGGCCCGCUCAGGCUGCUGGGUGGUGCUGGGUGCUGCGACCCUCUGACUCCUCCCUCGCCAGCUCCUCCUGGCUGGGUUCAGCUGCCCGUGGAGGUCACGACCCUGACAUCGUGUUUCCACCUUGUGGAUCCAGGAGACGUCAGCAGCUUCAGGGCAUAGACCAGCAGCGGGCAGGGGCUAAGCUGACACUGUACAGGCUGUGAG
rnacentral:lncRNA from 1 species